rnacentral:rRNA from 1 species
AAGCGUUCAUGACCAGACUUGGGCAGGUUGAUCAUCCGUGGUUCUCCGCGGUGCACUCUGCCUGCCCAGGCCAGCAUCAGUUCGCCCCGGGGGAUAAAGGCUUCGGGAAUGUGGCUCCUCCGGGAGUGUUAUAGCCCGUUGCGUAAUACCCUGGGACGGACU